rnacentral:lncRNA from 1 species
GCAUGAACAUAAUGAAUCAGUGGCAUAAACAUAACUCAGUAGCCUACACUAUAAACGGAAUAGAUAGCCUACUUAAGUGAUUUUCCAACCAUCUUUUAUUUAUUUUCCAUUUAAAAUAGGAAGGGAGUAGAAAGCCUAUCGUCUAAGCGAUGACAACCAUGAAAACCCCAGGACCAAGCAAGAGGUGGUGGUUCGCUCUCCGUGCCAGGGUUGCCACAUUUGGUGGAGAAUGCGGGCAACUCGACCGUGCUACGGACAAUCAUUGGGAGUGAUCGACGACGCAGCCAGAAACGAGGACACGAGAGACGAGGGCGCCAGAGAAGAGGCUGCGUGAGUCGAGGCUGCGUGAGUCGAGGCCGCCAGAGACGAGGCUGCGUGAGACGAGGCCGCCAGAGACGAGGCCGCGUGAGUCGAGGCCGCCAGAGUCGAGGCCGCCAGAGACGACGCCGCAAAACGAGCCACGCUGGCAGCAGAAGCCGCCACGCUACCCGCAGGACCGUCGCUCCUCCGAGAGGCCUCCCGAGGCUUCAUCAAAGGGUGGAGGAGUGAGGCAACCCGGCCUUUGCCAAUCAACUUGAUGCAGAGCACCUGAGGGCCAGAGGGAGAGCAGACCUUAAAUAGCCUGCUCCAAGGUGCAUUCAGGGCUCUCUUGGCUUGGGUGUGAGGAAAACCUGUGUUUCUUUGUUCUUUUAAGUAAGAGAUCCUUGUUUUGUAUUAUUAAAAGUGCCUUUGUGGUUAAGAAAUUAAGAGAAUCGUGUGCCGUUUGAGGUGGCGGUUCGCUCACCGUGCCGGGUUGCCACAAUACAUCCCACCACUUCGAUGCUUUAAAUGUCACAAAUUUGGGCAUUAAGCAGCAAUACGUAGAGGGAAAGCAAGAUGUGGCAAAUGUGAAGGGGAGGAUCAUGAAUACGAUAAAUGUAAGGGAGGUGCCCGGGUUAACUGGUGAUUUUUGAGGCGAGCAUAGGGCUACCUAUAAAGGGUGUUAGGCGCAUGAACGCGCAGCAGAGGUUCAAAUAAUUAAAGUGGAGGAAAAGGUAACAUAUGCUGAAGCAAUUAAACAAGUUAAUGCUUGAAAGGAUAUGGUGAAACAAGGAGUUGGACCUGGAAAAAUAGUUAAUGC